CGGAUGUUGAGGAUCACCGAGCCCGCGACGUAGAAGUACGGGAAGUUCAUGCGCAGCUGCCAGGCCAGCUCGAAGAAGGCGAGCAGGGUGCGGGAGAGCCCCUUGCAGAAGACGCCGUACGAGGUUCUCCAGCAUUUGGCUCAAGGCCCCAAGGGCACAUGUGACAAGAAGGCGCCAGCUUUUUAAACAUUGGAAGUUCUUCUGUGUCAGUUCUGUGACAGAACAUUUACUUAACACAUCAUGAAGGCUAGUUUGGAUGUGGAGGGGAAUAGACUCCAUCUAUCCAUAUGAGCUGCUGCAGAAGAAUAUUUUGCCUGCUGGAACCUGCUGUAUCUACUCAAGAGUGGAAGUUUUCACAGAUGUCAGCCAGGAAGAUGUUCCCCUCGUAAUAUCAGAUGGAGGAGACUCUGAGCAGUUCCUAGAUGAGGAGCGUCAGGGACCACCUUUGGGAGGACAGCAAUCUCAACCCUCUGCUGGUGAUGGGAACCAGGAUGAUGGCCCUCAGCA
rnacentral:lncRNA from 1 species